AGAGAGAGACAUGCGCGCAUAUCAAUAAGCGGAGGAAAAGAAACUAACAAGGAUUCCCCUAGUAACGGCGAGUGAAGCGGGAAGAGCUCAAAUUUGAAAUCUUAAAGGGUUUCCCUUUACGAAUUGUAGUUUAAAGAAGUGUUUUCUGUUGAGGUUUUGGUAAAAGUUCUUUGGAAUAGGACAUCAUAGAGGGUGAGAAUCCCGUAUUUGACCUUUACUUUCAACUUUGUGAUACACUUUCAAAGAGUCGGAUUGUUUGGGAAUGCAGUCCAAAAUGGGUGGUAAAUUUCAUCUAAAGCCUAAAUAUUGGCGAGAGACCGAUAGCGAACAAGUACCGUGAGGGAAAGAUGAAAAGAACUUUGAAAAGAGAGUUAAACAGUACGUGAAAUUGUCAAAAGGGAAGCGUUUGACACCAGUGUUGUUUUUCUGAAAAUCAAUUAAAGAACUGUUUAUGCUAAGCUGUUUAGACUUUAUCAGCUAUCUGUUUAGUUUUGAGCUUUUCUUUAAUGCACUUUUCAGUUAACAAGUCAACAUCAAUUUCUUUUGCUGUAAAAAAGCUUGAGGAAGGUGGCUUGAGAUUCGUCUUAAGUGUUUAUAGCCUCUUGCCUAUGCAGUCGGAGAGAUUGAGGUCUGCAGCGUAGAUCCUUCGGGGCUAAGUGCAUUUGUGCUAAGUUAUAGCAUUUUAUAGACAACUUGUUGACUAUGAUUUGUCUUGUAGCUUACUCGCUUAUGUUAUUUUACCUACGCUUAGGAUGUUGAGCGCAUGUCUCUCUCU
rnacentral:rRNA from 1 species